GUCACACACAGCAAAGCAUGGUUCUUGCCAACAGGGUCUGUAGAGUCAUCAGAUUUCCUGUGCGAUGGCCCCAUACAUG